GAUGAACGCUGGCGGCGUGCUUAACACAUGCAAGUCGAACGAAGCACUUUAUUUGAUUUCCUUCGGGACUGAUUAUUUUGUGACUGAGUGGCGGACGGGUGAGUAACGCGUGGGUAACCCGCCUUGUACAGGGGGAUAACAGUUGGAAACGGCUGCUAAUACCGCAUAAGCGCACGGCAUCGCAUGAUGCAGUGUGAAAAACUCCGGUGGUAUAAGAUGGACCCGCGUUGGAUUAGCUAGUUGGUGAGGUAACGGCCCACCAAGGCGACGAUCCAUAGCCGACCUGAGAGGGUGACCGGCCACAUUGGGACUGAGACACGGCCCAAACUCCUACGGGAGGCAGCAGUGGGGAAUAUUGCACAAUGGGCGAAAGCCUGAUGCAGCGACGCCGCGUGAGCGAAGAAGUAUUUCGGUAUGUAAAGCUCUAUCAGCAGGGAAGAUAAUGACGG
rnacentral:rRNA from 1 species